rnacentral:rRNA from 1 species
AACUUUCAACAACGGAUCUCUUGGCUCUCGCAUCGAUGAAGAACGCAGCGAAAUGCGAUAAGUAAUGUGAAUUGCAGAAUUCAGUGAAUCAUCGAAUCUUUGAACGCAUCUUGCGCUCCUU